rnacentral:rRNA from 1 species
UACGAAGGGGGCUAGCGUUGUUCGGAAUUACUGGGCGUAAAGCGCGCGCAGGCGGCUAUCCAAGUCAGUGGUGAAAGCCCGGAGCUCAACUCCGGAACUGCCAUUGAAACUGUUUAGCUUGAGGACGAGAGAGGUGAGUGGAAUUCCCAGUGUAGAGGUGAAAUUCGUAGAUAUUCGGAAGAACACCAGUGGCGAAGGCGACUUACUGGACACAUAUUGACGCUGAGGUGCGAAAGCGUGGGGAGCAAACAGGG